rnacentral:rRNA from 1 species
AUACGAAGGGUGCAAGCGUUACUCGGAAUUAUUGGGCGUAAAGAGUGCGUAGGUGGUUACCUAAGCAGGGGGUGAAAGGCACUGGCUUAACCAAUGUCAGCCCCCUGAACUGGGCUACUUGAGUGCAGGAGAGGAAAGUGGAAUUCCUAGUGUAGCGGUGAAAUGCGUAGAUAUUAGGAGGAACACCAGUGGCGAAGGCGUCUUUCUGGACUGUUACUGACACUGAGGCACGAAAGUGUGGGGAGCAAACAGGAUUAGAUACCCUGGUAGUCCACACCGUAAACGAUGAGCACUAGGUGUCGGGGGAGCAAUCCUUCGGUGCCGCAGUUAACGCAUUAAGUGCUCCGCCUGGGGAGUACGUACGCAAGUAUGAAACUCAAAUGAAUUGACGGGG